rnacentral:tRNA from 1 species
ACCUCCUUUCUAAGGAUUUGGCAGAAAGCGCCUCGCUUCAUGCGGGGAAGGGCUUCUACCGAUCUACAGAACAUGCCGUCGUCCUCAUGUCCCUUCAUCACUGGAGAUUGCCGCGAGGCCCUUUUGGGUUUUGCCGGCAUCAGCCUGAGCUGGCUCACGCCGCCCGCGGCCUCAUGGCCUGCUUUGGGUUUGCGGUGGGGGCCGGUAGCUCAGGUGGUUAGAGCGCACGCCUGAUAAGCGUGAGGUCGCAAGUUCAACUCUUGCUCGGCCCACCAUGUUUUUUUGACGUUGGUUGCGGGGCCUUAGCUCAGCUGGGAGAGCACCUGCUUUGCAAGCAGGGGGUCAUCGGUUCGAUCCCGAUAGGCUCCACCAGCCAACGAACUCCAGGGAUGAAGACACGAUAUCCGGCCGCAAGGCUGGUGAUGCGGAAGGGUUACUUCUGCUGCUUCUUUGACAUUGUGAAUGGGUUUUUAAUCGAUGCCGUGGUGCAUUGGUUUGCUUGCAUGUGCAGAGCCGCGAGGCUUGAGCAUGUGGCAUAUCAUUGCGUCACUUACAGAUGUAACAUCUGGCUGAGAUUAUCGUCCGCACCUUUAGACAACGCAGAUUUUAUGCAGGUCUGUCGUUGAUGGUGUGGAUUCUCAAGCGUGAGGUAAGAGCAUUU